CGCUGCGCGUGGACCGCGGCGUUUGCUCUCGUGUGACGAGGACAGCUGGAGGCUCUGAGAGCUCGCUUCACUUCACAGGCAGCUUUCCUUGUAACGUAAAUCAGAACAGAGAACCUGAUCUUAAGACUCCUGAUAAGAAACACAAGAUUUUUUUUUAAAGAAAGAAAAGAUACACAAGAUUAUUCUGAGGGUAGCAUCACUUAUGGAGCCUUCUCUGGAAAAGGCAUACAUUACCGAUAAGACACAUUCAGUCUGCUGGGAGAUUAAGAAGCUUCAAACAUCUGGACAACAGGAUGAGAGACAGGCUUCUCUUAGCAAUGAGCCUUCUGAAGGCAGAGAAUGUAACAUGAGAUGACUGUGCCCGAAAAUGUGCUGAUUCUGCCUAGAAACCCAGCAGCUUAGGACAAUGGACCAGAAAAGGGUCUAGGGUCUGGUUUGACAUAGAAACCCACCAUUAAUCGAGUCCUUUCUUUGUGUGUAAUCUUGAUCAGUUUUAAUAAUCAUUCAUUAAACUGCUAUUUUAUAGCUACAGAGAAAGAAUACUGUUAUUAAUUCAAAUACUAGAAUUCUGAACAAAGCCAUCUUUUUCCAACUUAUUUGCAUUGAGAUUUAAUGACAUCUUACUUUCUCUGUUCAUUCUAUGAUUUAGAAAUUAUCAAUUCAGCAACGUCUAAAUUAAAAGACAUUUUAGAGAUAUGCUUUGGCUUUCACAGAUGCUCUCUUAGUUCUCAUUUCAGACAGCUUUGAAGACUGGGCUAACAGCAUGCUAUGUGUAACUUAGCCUCUGUGUGUGUUCACAGACCAGCUGGCUAUUAUAUGGCUCUAAUAUUGACUUUCAG